rnacentral:rRNA from 1 species
GACGAACGCUGGCGGCGUGCUUAACACAUGCAAGUCGAACGGAAAGGCCCUGCUUUUGUGGGGUGCUCGAGUGGCGAACGGGUGAGUAACACGUGAGUAACCUGCCCUUGACUUUGGGAUAACUUCAGGAAACUGGGGCUAAUACCGGAUAGGAGCUCCUGCUGCAUGGUGGGGGUUGGAAAGUUUCGGCGGUUGGGGAUGGACUCGCGGCUUAUCAGCUUGUUGGUGGGGUAGUGGCUUACCAAGGCUUUGACGGGUAGCCGGCCUGAGAGGGUGACCGGCCACAUUAGUACUGAGAUACGGCCCAGACUCCUACGGGAGGCAGCAGUGGGGAAUAUUGCACAGUGGGCGGAAGCCUGAUGCGGCAACGCCGCGUGCGGGAUGACGGCCUUCGGGUUGUAAACCGCUUUCGCCUGUGACGAAGCGUGAGUGACGGUAAUGGGUAAAGAAGCACCGGCUAACUACGUG